AGCCCAGACUCCUACGGGAGGCAGCAGUAGGGAAUUUUGCGCAAUGGGCGAAAGCCUGACGCAGCAACACCGCGUGAAUGUUAAGCCCUUCGGGGUGUAAAGUUCUGUCAAUAGGGACGAAUUUUGACUGUACCUAUAAAGGAAGCUCCGGCUAACUACGUGCCAGCAGCCGCGGUAAUACGUAGGGAGCAAGCGUUGUCCGGAAUUACUGGGUGUAAAGGGAGCGUAGGCGGGAUGGCAAGUUGGGUGUUAAAUCUACCGGCUCAACUGGUAGUCGUACUCAAAACUGCUAUUCUUGAGUGAAGUAGAGGCAGGCGGAAUUCCUAGUGUAGCGGUGAAAUGCGUAGAUAUUAGGAGGAACACCAGUGGCGAAGGCGGCCUGCUGGGCUUUUACUGACGCUGAGGCUCGAAAGUGUGGGGAGCAAACAGGAUUAGAUACCCUAGUA
rnacentral:rRNA from 1 species